AACGUAGGACGCAAGCGUUAUCCGGAGUUACUGGGCGUAAAGCGCGGGCAGGCGGCUCGAUGCGUCUGAUGUGAAAUCUCCUCGCUCAACGGGGAGAGGCCAUUGGAAACGGUCGAGCUGGAGGGCAGUAGAGGUAGGCGGAAUUCCGGGUGGAGUGGUGAAAUGCGUAGAGAUCCGGAGGAACACCAGAGGCGAAGGCGGCCUACUGGGCUGCACCUGACGCUGAGCCGCGAAAGCCAGGGGAGCAAACGGG
rnacentral:rRNA from 1 species